AGCAAAAUGAUGAGUGGAAGUUCUGAAUUCAAUGUUGAGAUGCAUUUUGGUCUUCAAAGUUCUCUGAUUGCU